CUCCGUAGCCCUUCCCUCUGGCAGGAAAUUGAGGAAGGGCCAACUAGCUUUGAGAACCAGGCGCACUAAGCUGUGCCUUCAUACAAAGCCCACCAAGCCCAUUCCCCAAAAUCACACUCCUGAAAUUUUCUUUAUUUAUUUGAGAGAGAGAGUGCAAG